UACUACCGAAGCUACGGCAUCAGUAAUGAUGGGUAGGGGAGCUUCCCAUACGGGUUGAAGCAUGACCGUAAGGACAUGUGGACAGUAUGGGAGUGAGAAUGUUGGCAUGAGUAGCGAGAUGUGGGUGAGAAUCCCACAGGCCGUAAACCCAAGGUUUCCAGGGGAAGGUUCGUCCGCCCUGGGUUAGUCGGGACCUAAGCUGAGGCCGAAAGGCGUAGGUGAUGGACAACAGGUUGAUAUUCCUGUACUACCGAUAACCAUUUGAGAGAAGGGAUGACACAGUAGGAUAAGCUAAGCACACUGUUGGUUAUGUGUGCCCAAGCAUUGAGGCAGUCAAAGUAGGCAAAUCCGCUUUGAUAAUGCUGGGAUGUGAUGGGGAGCGAAAUUUAGUAGCGAAGUAGCUGAUUUCACACUGUCAAGAAAAGUCUCUAUCGAGGUUAAAGGUACCCGUACCGCAAACCGACACAGGUG
rnacentral:rRNA from 1 species